AAAGAAAACACACACUAAACACAUUGAACACAACUUUCACGUGUUGAAAUUCAUAACAAAGAUUCAAAUAUGUUGAAGCUCCCUCCACCAGAGUUCAGUCUUCCUCCGCCAUGUCGGAGGUUGCCUCCGGCGGUGGAGGAUCCUCAAUAUCCAAAAUAAUCACAUCACCUUCUUCACCUUUUCCACCUGAAUCUGAAUAUCCCCGUGGAACAAGCCAAUUCUCCAUGAACGGUCUGAAUCUAAGUUAAAUAACGAAAAACUCUAAUUCUUUGAAGAAAAAUUAAAUCCCUCUCUUUCAGAAUCAAAACCCUAGAGGUUAUGGCUUUGAUUCCGCUAACCUCCUUCUACACUCUGGUAACUCAUAUGUAAUGAAACGGUGAAUAAACUGAAGCAACUCACUGGAGCAGUGUCGGCGAUCAGGUGAUGGAUAAUGCAAAGAUGAUCUUAACUUGAAGACCAAGGAAAUUAUGACUUAGGGGUUUUGAAUUGUUGAGUUGACUUUGGUCAACUGGUUGACCAAAAAGUCAACAGUUGACUAAAAGUCACCUUAUGCAAAAAUAUAAUUUUUGUAAUCUUUUCAAUGAAAUGUAUAUUGGACAAUUUAAUUAA